rnacentral:rRNA from 1 species
ACUCCGUACGGAGGCAGCAGGUGGGAAUAAUUGCACAAUGGGCGCAAGCCUGAUGCAGCCAUGCCGACGUGUGUGAAGAAGGCCUUCGGGUUGUAAAGCACUUUCAGUCGUGAGGAAGGUAGUGUAGUUAAUAGCUGCAUUAUUUGACGUUAGCGACAGAAGAAGCACCGGCUAACUCCGUGCCAGCAGCCGCGGUAAUAC